ACUGGAGUUGCGCGGCACGUAAUUGAUGAAAGCAUAGCCUCGCGCUUGGUCGAUGGUGUGGAAAAGCGGGUUCCAGUCAAACAUCGCCAGCAUGAAGCUUGGAAGAGAGUUGGCGACGAACAUCUUGCCGGAUGCAAUCAUAUUGGCGCGUGC
rnacentral:ncRNA from 1 species